rnacentral:lncRNA from 1 species
GGAAGCAAUCGGAUAGGCAUUUGCUUCAGGUGAGCAGAGGGAUGACUUUCUGUCCCACAUCUGUGAAGAUCAGCUGUUGGUUUACAUUGCCAGGGUGAAAUUCAACAGAACUAAUUUAGGGUGAAGAUCUUGAGGCCCACAAGGAAUUUCCUUGUGGGAAAAUUGUGAGGAAGAGCAAUCACUGCACCCAGCCACCUCUAUAUACAUGUACACAAAGCCACACAGUUUACACAGUCACAGGUAUUUAAGUACACACUAUUCACACACAAAUACAUAUAUAGACACACAUGUACAGUCCGUCCAAAAUAUAUGUACAUAAAAGCACACUAUUACACCUUCAUAUGUGCACACACACACACACCCAGACUCACUUCAUACACACAUAGAUACAACAGCCACAGCUCCCCAUCACCUACACACACACACACACACCUGGACACCCAGCUCUAAUAUAAUCAGAUAGAGAUAUGCAUGCAGACAAAUUUGCCUGUAUAGUCAAACACAUAGGCAAAUAGAGAACGAGACACCACAUGAACAAAGGCAAACCUACACACAAAGACACAGAGCACACUUACGCAUAUAUCUAUAGACCCACCAUGGCACAUAUGGGUAAGUGCACACAGGCAAACUCACACACACGAGCAUGCACAGGCAGAGAACACAAAUGUACACUCCCAGGUGUCAUAAAGAACAGCCCAGCUUCGGCUUGGGAACGUCACAUCAGACAAUAGGAACGGCUGCACCGCGCGUUUCCUCGGCUGCCAGCUUCCCAGCCACAGAGGAUGCCUCACCUGCUAUGUCAGCUCCCCUCUGCCCCACCUCACAAGAAGCUCAGAAGCUGAGGAGUCACAGAGAGACCUCCCUACUGUGUCAGAGGAAUAGGUCCUUCUGUCACGGGGCACAGGACCCUUGACCGCAAAAUGACCAUUUUAGGACCCAAAGGGACCUAAGAGAGUGCUCAGACAGCUGGCUGCGUUAGGAGCUACCUGUGGCUGCUGAAGAAGAGUUUGCGUCAAUUUAAAGAAAGAGCCAUUCAAGGAAUGAGGACCAUGACCUUGGCUGCACUGACCAGCUGGGCUCUGGAGACUCAGUGAGGCUGCCCAGCCACCAACAGGCCCUGCACAAUAGAUCCACGGACCCAGCAGUCAGAGGUGACCCUAGGGGUCACUGGCCCGUGGCUAAGGAGGAGGAGCACAGACCUGCGACCCCCUUUUCCCAUGGACCACCCAGGGAGGCUGAGCGGGGACUCUGAGCUCAGAUGGACAACCUCAGAGCCACUGGGAAUUUGCCUGAGGCCACUGGGGCCAGGGUUAAAUCCAUAUGAAGCAGCGCGGGCUGUGCACCUGCCAUUUUCUAGGCUCUGUCACAUGCAUCUUUCUGCCAAAUCUCAUGGUGAUCCUUCAAGAAUAGUACUAUUAAUCUCCCCAUUGACAGAGGGAGAAAGGGAGGCUCAGAGACGUUAAGUGUCUCACCAAAGCUCACACAGCUUCCAAGCAAUAGAACUUUACUCAGUACUCAGUACAGGUUAACAUUUAUUCAUUCACUCGAUAACCAUUUGCAGCACAGCUACCAUAUGCCAGGCAGUGUUCUAGGCACUUAGAAUACAUAGAUGAGCAAAACAGGCAAAACCUUUCCCUCAGGGCGUUACCAUUUGAGUGCCACCAUGCCACGGCUGGUACAGUUGCUAUUGAGACAAACAAAAUAAGACCCAGUUUUUGCCUUUGGGGAGUAGGUAGUCUAGUGGAGGAGGCACAUACACAGAAAAUUCCAAAGUACUGUGGAAAUCUCAGGGUACUUUGAUAGGGAUUACCAGAGGAGCUGUGAGAAUAAAGGCUGGAUAUCAGGGAAGGCUUCCUGGAAGAGGUGUUGCCUGAAAUGAGCCUGGAAGGAUCACUUAGGGACAGAAAAGUCAUUCCGUGUAGAAUUCAUGGUACAGCUUGAGCAAAGACACAGAAGCAGAAGGCAGGUUUUUGGUUCCAUGAACUCUACAUCUGGCUACAUACAAAUGGUGAAGAGGAACAGGGAGAAACAUGGUUGAAAAGAACAGGCUUGGACUUCAGGAAGCAGUAAAAUGAGCGAAUGCCAUUUAUGGUUACAAAGAUAACUCAGCUGGGGGCCAAACAGAGACUGAAAUGGAGUGGGUGAGGAUGGAGGCCGGGAGGAGAUGGCUGCAGAGGUCCCAGCAAUGACAGUGGUUGUGGGAAGGGGCAACCCCAAGUCUUGUGCUCCCAACUGCAAAUCCAGUGCUUUUUCUAAAAAAAUAUUUAAAUAAUUUAUUUAUUUUUGAGAUGGAGUCUCGCUCUGUCACCCAGGCUGGAGUGCAGUGACACAAUGUCGGCUCGUGCAACCUCUGCCCCCCGGGUUCAAGCGAUUCUCCUGCCUCAGCCUCCCAAGUAGCUGGGAUUACAGACGCACGCCUCCACGCCUGGCUAAUUUUUUAUAUUUUUGGUAGAGAUGGGGUUUCACCAUGUUGCCCAGGCUGGUCUCGAACUCCUGACUUCAAGUGAUCCACCCACCUCGGCCUCCCAAAGUACUAGGAUGACAGGCGUGAGCCACUGUGCCCAGCCUUAUUUUUUUUUUUAAUUUAUAUUUUCAGAGGCAAACGAUCCUUGCUCAUUAAAAAAAGGAAAUAGAAAUUCAAAACAAAAAUGCCUGUAUCUGAUGGGAAAGAUGAGCCCAAUGUUCUUUUUUAAAAAACCUUUAUUAUGAAAUAUUUCAACUGAACAUAUGCAGUUUAUAUUGUUAUAAAGCAUAACAAGCAAUCAAACAGCUGUGAACCCACCACUCCAUGUCAGAACUAGAACUUCCCAAAGCAGUCGGAGCUGAGGUGAGAUCCACUCUGAUGCCCUUCCCCAACUCCACGCCACCCCCCAAGACCUGACCACCUGAUUACUCUGGGAUUUCAUUUUUGUCUCGUUCCCUUGCUUUGCUUUAUGUCUUUACCAAAUGUGAAUGUGUGCCUAAACAAUACAGUGCUCGAUUUGCUUGUGUUUAAGCUUUAUUACAAAUAUAACUUUGAUCCUUCUGCUACUUGCAAUUCUAAAUUUGAUAUUACGAGUCUCAGCCUCAUCGGCGUUGAUGCGUGUGACCGACAUUGAUUCACUCUCACCAGUACGUGGUGUGUUCCGUUGCAUGCAUGCACCCCUGCUGGGGUAUCCAUUCUCCUGUUGGUGGACCUUUGGGUGGUAUUAGUUGCUGGUCAUCUCCAUGGUGCUGUCCUCUUGCAGGUCUCCAGGACACAUGUGCAUGAGUUCCUCUAGGAAACCACGGUGUACAACUGCUGGGUUGCAGGCCCAGGGUUCUUUCCACUUCUCUAUCCUCCCAAGUAGGGUCCAGCUGGCCUUAGUGCUGCCAUGCUGAGAGCUCUGGGAGGGGCAACCCAGGGCAGACAGGCCCAGGCCAGCCACCCUGCCCCAGGCAUUUCCCAGGACUCAUCAGGCACCCAGCGGCCCCUCAGCAGUGAGCAAUACCAGAAAUCUGCCAGCUGGCUACUAACUGGGUCACAAGAGAGUACUGCUGUCUCACUCAGGGUGCGUUCCAUUUCCUUCAGCACUUGCGCCAAGUAAGGCUGUGUUCACAGGCCACAAGACCCAAGGGAGAUGGAAAUCAGCUCACAGAUGCUGAGCUGACUGCACACCAGGCAGUGUGCAAAGCACCUUACACAUAUAACUCACUUAAUCCUCAUCCCUGACUGCACGAGGUGGGCACUAUUAUUAACCCCACUUUACAGAUAAGAAACUGAGGCGCAGGAAGUUGAAAAUUUUGCCCAGACCAACACGUACAACUUCAAAUCCAGACAGCCUGGCCGCUCUGCUCCUACUACUCUGCUACCCCAUCUCUCAAGAGGGGAAAAGGACUAGCUCCUUGCCCAAUCCUGAGGUUGUCAGCAUUCUUUUACUGGCAAGGAAAACAAAUGGAACUUCAAUGAAUAUAUGUAGAAAGAAAGACUUAUUAGCUGACAAAAAUCAAUAGAGAAAAGACAGGUUAGAAGCAGAUCUCAGGGCCCACUGGGUCCAGGGAGGCGAAAGCGCCCCUCCUUCUCCGUCUUCCUCCUCCACGUCUCUCUUUGUGCUGUUUUCAUUCUUUCCUAUUGCAAAAGGGCCUCCUCCCCUGGGCAGGUAGGUGGCUGCCUGCAACUCUCACCUCACCUUCUCACAGAUCUGCCUAUUUCUAUUUUAAAAUACAAACAAACCAAAAGCCAGAGAAGGUUCCUGACAGGCCCAGGAAAGGAUGUGAUUAGCUUAGUCUGGGCCACCUGCCCAUUUUUUAUGGACUAAAUGUUUGUGUGUCUCCAAAUUGGUAUGUGGAAGCCCUACCCCCAGUGUGACAGUAUUAGGAAGUGGGGCCUCUGAAAGGUCAUUAGGUUUCAAUGAGGUCAUGAGGGUGGGGGGAUCCAUGAUGGAAUUAGUGCCGUUAUAAGAAAAGGAAGAGACACCAGAGUUUUCUCUCCACCAUGUGAGGUUACAGCAAGAAGGCAGCUGUCUGCAAGCCUGAAGAGAGCCCUUACCAGGAGCCAAAUCUGCCAGCACCCUGAUCUUGGACUUCCAGAACUGUGAGAAAUAAAUUCCUGUUCCUGAAGCCACUCAGUCCGUGGGAUUCUAUUAGCAGUCGGGACUGACUUGGACACUGUUCCUGGAGCAACGCUAGUGGCCUGGGGAAGCUGGGCCCUGGGACUGGUGCAGGGAGGGCCACAGUCCCAGCCUAUAGCAGCUGAAGCUGCAUUUGUCCCCAGGAAGAGGACAUCACAGACACAACCCCAGAGGCAGUGGGAGGGGGCAUGAUUGAUUGGGAGCAAGGCAACAGUCUAACAGGGCCCAUCUGUGCCCAGGAGUGGGAGAAGCUCCUGGCCAUGAAGAGAGCCCUCACCAGAGGCCAAACCUACUAGGACCUUGAUCUUGGACUUCCAGCCUCCUCCCUGGAAACACGUGACAGCACAUAUGGGUGGUCUCCCUUCUUGAGCGAGGCCUGAGUCUUCACCCAGGAUCCAACUAGACUGAAAAGAACUGUCUCCCUAACAGCACUCCAUCAGCAUUCAGAGAAAAGAGAUUUCCACCUGGUGUUUUUAACCAACACAACCUCCUUCUACACCCUAACCCAUAGAGGGCCCUGGGACCAGUAUAAGAAGUGUGGGUGUUAAGCUGGGACUGCUAGAAGGAGCAGCAGCCCCAUGGGAGCAGGGCAGGAGGGUCCCCUCUUGACCUGCUGACUGCAAACACUGCAGCCGGAGAGACACUCACUCAGGCCACGGUGGGGAGGCCCAGGGGAGGCACGUGUCCUCAUUCUGCUAAGGCGAUAGGGCUCGGGCACAGGACAGGCGAUUUGA